GGGUCAGUUACAUAGGGACACCAGCAACUUCGUUUUUUACCAAAGAGAAACCUGAAGAAGCCCAGGAAGAAGGAAAUGACAUUUUAUGUUUGUCAUUGCUUGAUAAAAGGUAAGUUUCGGGGAGUAGGGCUUUGGUUGAGCCUUUGUCCUAUUGAGCUGCUGGCCACAUGCUCUCCUCCUCCAGGCCUCCGCAGUCUCCACAGUGGAAUGUGAAGUCUCCAGCCAGGAGCCAAGACAACCCCCGGUCCGGCAGAAGGUCCCUUCGCAAGGCCCCGCUGAAGACAGCCAACUGAGACCUGCGGGGAUAUCUGCCUUCCCCGUGUGUGUGCAAGGAGGAAAGAUGGUGUGGCCUGCACCCACACAGGAGAGACCCGCUGCGCCCUGCCAACUCCUGUCUAGGACACCAAUGCAACUUUGUGCAGCUUGUAUCUCUCCUUGUGUGCAUCAUCGUUGUUGAGAUUUGUAAAUAGAGACAUGAUGUAUUUAGACUUUCUCACAAUAACAUUAAGCUAUUUAAUACUGUGAUGUUCUAUUUGAGUAUCAAACCUUCUGUGGUAAGUUACACUCUGGUCUUUAAGGAACACGAUUUUAGAAACCAGCUUUCUUCUGUGUAACAUAAGUGUCUAUAGUUUGUGUGAAUUCAAUAUAAUAGAUAUGUCCCCUUAGCUAAUGGCAAAAUUUUGAAUAUUUUUCUAUUAUUUAUAAUUGCAAAUUUGUAUUAAAAGAGAUGUACAGUCUUUCUAAAACAAAUAAAGGUCAAAUAUAAAUGUAACCUA
rnacentral:lncRNA from 1 species